CCUACGGGAGGCAGCAGUAAGGAAUAUUGGUCAAUGGGCGCAAGCCUGAACCAGCCAUGCCGCGUGCAGGAAGACGGCCCUAUGGGUUGUAAACUGCUUUUGAACAAGAAAAAACCUCGGUACGUGUACCGAGCUGAUAGUAUUGUUAGAAUAAGCAUCGGCUAACUUCGUGCCAGCAGCCGCGGUAAGACAAAGGAUGCAAGCGUUAUCCGGAUUCAUUGGGUUUAAAGGGUGCGUAGGCGGACCGAUAAGUCAGUGGUGAAAUCUCUCAGCUUAACUGAGAAACUGCCAUUGAUACUGUCAGUCUAGAGUACAGAUGAUGUGGGCGGAAUAUGACAUGUAGUGGUGAAAUACUUAGAUAUGUCAUAGAACACCGAUUGCGAAGGCAGCUCACAAAACUGUAACUGACGCUGAGGCACGAAAGUGCGGGGAUCAAACAGGAUUAGAUACCCUGGUAGUCCGCACCGUAAACGAUGAUUACUCGUUGUUGGCAAUAUGACCGUCAGCGACCAAGCGAAAGCGAUAAGUAAUCCAACCCUGGGGAGUACGCCGGCAACGGUGAAACUCAAAGGAAUUGACGGCGAGAGAGNGCGAGGACGACACGAGGGGAGGAGG
rnacentral:rRNA from 1 species